UGCUGGAUAGCUCAGUUGGUAGAGUGAGAGGCUCUUAAUUUCAUGGUUGUGGGUUUGAACCUCACAUUGGGCAA